rnacentral:rRNA from 1 species
CCUACGGGUGGCAGCAGUGAGGGAUAUUGGACAAUGGGCGGAAGCCUGAUCCAGCCAUGCCGCGUGAAGGAUUAAGGCCCUAUGGGUCGUAAACUUCUUUUGACGCAGAGCAAUAAGGGACACGUGUGUUCCGAUGAGAGUAUGCGUCGAAUAAGCAUCGGCUAACUCCGUGCCAGCAGCCGCGGUAAUACGGAGGGUGCGAGCGUUAUCCGUAUUUAUUGGGUUUAAAGGGUGCGUAGGCUGUCGGUUAAGUCAGCGGUGAAAUCAGCACGCUUAACGUGUUGUUUGCCGUUGAGACUGUCCGUCUUGAAUGCGCUCGUCGUGGGAGGAAGGUGUGGUGUAGCGGUGAAAUGCAUAGAUAUCACACAGAACACCGAGUGCGAAGGCAUCUCACGAGAGCGUUAUUGACGCUGAUGCACGAAAGCGCGGGUAUCGAACAGGAUUAGAUACCCUAGUAGUC